rnacentral:rRNA from 1 species
UACGGAGGGUGCAAGCGUUGUUCGGAAUCAUUGGGCGUAAAGCGCGUGUAGGCGGCUUGGCAAGUCAGUUGUGAAAGCCCGGGGCCCAACCCCGGAAUUGCAUCUGAAACUGCCUGGCUAGAGUCCCGGAGAGGAAGGCAGAAUUCCCGGUGUAGGGGUGAAAUCCGUAGAUAUCGGGAGGAAUACCAGCGGCGAAGGCGGCCUUCUGGACGGUGACUGACACUGAGACGCGAAAGCGUGGGGAGCAAACAGG